rnacentral:rRNA from 1 species
GACGAACGCUGGCGGCGUGCUUAACACAUGCAAGUCGAGCGGUAAGGCCCUUUCAGGGGUACACGAGCGGCGAACGGGUGAGUAACACGUGGGUGACCUGCCCUUAGCUCUGGGAUAAGCCUGGGAAACUGGGUCUAAUACCGGAUAUGACUCCAUGACGCAUGUUGUGGGGUGGAAAGCCUUGUGCGGCUAGGGAUGGGCCCGCGGCCUAUCAGCUUGUUGGUGGGGUGAUGGCCACCAAGGCGACGACGGGUAGCCGGCCUGAGAGGGCGACCGGCCACACUGGGACUGAGACACGGCCCAGACUCCUACGGGAGGCAGCAGUGGGGAAUCUUGCGCAAUGGGCGAAAGCCUGACGCAGCGACGCUGCGUGAGGGAUGACGGCCUGG